rnacentral:rRNA from 1 species
AUUGAACGCUGGCGGCAUGCCUUACACAUGCAAGUCGAACGGCAGCACGGGAGCAAUCCUGGUGGCGAGUGGCGAACGGGUGAGUAAAGUAUCGGAACGUGCCCAGUCGUGGGGGAUAACGUAGCGAAAGUUACGCUAAUACCGCAUACGAUCUAAGGAUGAAAGCGGGGGAUCGCAAGACCUCGCGCGAUUGGAGCGGCCGAUAUCAGAUUAGGUAGUUGGUGGGGUAAAGGCUCACCAAGCCGACGAUCUGUAGCUGGUCUGAGAGGACGACCAGCGACACUGGGACUGGGACACGGCCCAGACUCCUACGGGAGGCAGCAGUGGGGAAUUUUGGGCAAUGGGCGAAAGCCUGAUCCAGCCAUGCCGCGUGCAGGAUGAAGGCCUUCGGGUUGUAAACUGCUUUUGUACGGAACGAAAAGGUUUGGGCUAAUAAGCUGAGCUCAUGACGGUACCGUAAGAAUAAGCACCGGCUAACUACGUGCCAGCCGCCGCCGUAA